GUGAUUCAUCAGUGUAAUUCACAACUAUAUAAGCAUGGACACUAUGGUUUUUACGCUUGGCAAAGUUAAAAGUCUUAACUUGUGCCACAAACAUGAUCUAAGGAGAACUAACAAAGGAGCUAAGGAGUGGAGGAUCGGGUAUAUUAACCGUCCCUUCUAGCAUCAAGAUAACCCUUUUCAUCGACGGUCGAGACGAUGCUUCAUCUUGGGUGCACCAUAAUCCGACCUUAACCAUCUUCUCCAAUUUACUCUUCUCCACAAAUUCAUUUUGCACCAGCUUCUCCACUUCAUUAGCCUUGAAACAAUCAUGUGCCCAGUAUGCAAGAACUUGUUCGUUUUCCGGAACAUCCGCUUCCACACUCCUUCUACAACAAAUGAUCUCGAACAGCAUUAUUCCGAAGCUAUAAACAUCGGCUUUCACGGUUAUUGGUAAGUUUCGAUGCCACUCUGGGGCAACGUAUCCCCUCGUCCCUCGGAUUUCAGUGUAUGUCCUAGAUUGGUUAGGCAUCAAUAGCUUGGCUAAUCCAAAAUCUGCAAUUUUGGCGUACCCUUUGUCGUCCAUUAGGAUGUUUUCGGGUUUGAUAUCGCAAUGGAUAAUCUGAGUCUCGCAUUCUUCAUGCAAGUAACAAAGUCCUCUCGCUAUACUCAAUACUACUUCGACUCUUCCUUCCCAAUUUACCUUUAAUCUCGAUUUGAAAAGAAAAUCUGCAAGAGAACCGUUUUUCAUGUACUCGUAAACCAGAAGCCUAUUAGUCCCGUCGUAGCAAUAACCGAGCAAUCGAACGAGGUUCUUGUGAUGUGUUUUCCCGAUGGCUUUCAUUUCAUUCAGGAAAUCUCUUUCACCUUCGGCCACCACUUUUUCCAGUCUCUUGACGGCUACUGUUCUUUCGCCAUCGAAUAUCACCCCUUUGAAAACCGUCCCGUAAGCUCCUUUACCGAUCACGUCCACAAAAUUGUUGGUUGCAUCUUUAAGUUCCUCGAGGGAAAAUGAUUUCAAGGAAACAUCUUCAGCAACUCGAUUGUUUACCAAACGCAAAUCACGCUUGUAUUUUCGAACAUAAGCACGAUACUUUCGAACGCCGAUCGUUGCUACAGCUAGAAACCCAAGCGUCAAGCAUGCCAUGGCAAUACUAAUGAUUAACAUAUCCAUUCUUAGCUUCCUUUUCCUUUUCCUUGUCCCAACACCGGCAAGUUCUCCUCCAAUCUUUAAAAAUGUAGUAACUUGACCACUUAAUACUCUCCUCCCAAACCGUAACGGCAACUUCAUCAUUUUACACAACUCGUUCUCGAAGACAGCGGCUUCGCAACUACAAUCUCGAUAGCACUCGUCCCUACAACUGUUCUUUGUCUUCAACGAAAGACUCAAAUACGCAUCAUUUUUCCAAGACACAUCGUUCACCUCAAGAAAAUCAAAAGUUUGGUCAUUUCUUGUGUCACAAGCAACUAAACUAUAGUUCUUUCGGCAACCCAAUUCCUGUCGCUUCUCGUUGAUAAAAUCGAAAUGAAGAGGACAUUGACAAACGGGUUCCCCACCCAUCAUAACACAAUAACUAUUCUCACCGCACAAACCGAAAGGAUCACAUCUAUAAUUAGAGGAUGACCAUUCGGUGUACCAAUCAUCAAAUUGGUUAGAACUAUGUGAGUACAAUCGAAAUAUACCAUCCGUAUCGAUUGUUGCACGAUACACGGACUUACCCGAGGCAUUAACGUAGUUCGUAUUAAUACUUUUGAUGUUGAAACCGGUAUCAUUUAACAAAUAUAGGUGACCGUCACCAUCAAGAUUCAAGCUCACACCAUAUCCAGCAGUAAAUGUAUCAGUAGCCCAAUAAGCAGCACCAAGCUGUUCCACUGCUCCAACAGGGUAUUGAACCAAAUUCCCAUCCCUUUGCAUAAGAAUUAGAAAUUUUCCGCUACUAUGAUCCGACUCGGCAACACUCGAAACGAGCUUACCGAUCACCGCUAGACGUUGUCCUGGUAAAAUGGUAUCGGUCGGGAAAUCAAAACUCUUCCAUACGAUCCCACCACUUGAAUUCAACAAAACAAAGUUACCCGAAUCGAGCAUCGAGGCCGAAGUUGCUAACCGUGACACGUUAUCACUACUAGCAUCGGCAAUGAGUACGUCUUGACCUUGCUUUGGUCGAACAAUAAGGGUACCUUCGGUGGUUAAAACCAAUGUGACAUUGCUAGGGAACGGCAAGGCAUCUCGGUUAGCCGUCCAUACAAUUGUUUUCUGCUGGAUGUUUUCGAACCAUAUGCCUACGGAGUAGCCGUUUUUGUAUGGGUAGAAACCGAAAGCGAACUGGCCGGACGGCGAUAGCAAAUAUGAAUUAUUGAUGGGUGAAAGAGAAGAACCUGGUUUGAUAAUAGAGCUUGUUGAUUGAGCAUUUGUUGCAUUAAAUACAAAAUUUAAAAGAAGAAGAAGAACAACAAGAAACGCCAUUAAAGUGGAAGAUAAAGCUUGUGUUUUUCUUUUUCUUUUUUUCUUUUUACAGUGCUUGUAAGGAAAAAAAGUAGAUGCGAUCCCUUGUCGAUAGUGCAUUAGGAGGAUUAGUCUAAAUUAUCGAUUUAGUCCUUGUACUUAAACUUUUUUUUAGAUGAGAUAAAUAUUAAAAUCAUACAUGAAUUUUGAUGCAAUGUACAAUUUGAUACAUGAACAUUAUUUUUAUGUGAUUUUAUACAUGAAAAUUUAAUUUCAUUAAUUUUCACGAACCACUAAUAACAUUAUCGAAUUAGCAUCAUUUUAUGUUAAUAUAUUACAUACACAAAUCAUUAUAUUAAUCCAAUAUAAAAAUAAUUAUAUGUAUUCAUUUUUUAAAAUGUAUACAAUUGAAUCAAAAUCAAAGUUUCAUAUAUAUAAACCACAAUUCAAGUUUCAUGUGUAUAAAUGCACUAAAUCAAUACUCAUGUAUUAAAUUAAAUAUUGGGUGUAUAAAUUUAAUAUUUAACCCUUGCUUUUACCUUCACUUUUUUAAUUUUAAAAUUCUAGUCUUGGCCAAACAAUAAUCGUUAUAUUUUACUGUUUUUAAAAUAUUAUGCGCCAAUUAUAUUAUUAUAUGUGCAACGUUAUGCCUGAUUGUUAUUUUCACGUAAUAUUCACACACACAAAAAAAGCCACAUUUUUAGUUAUUGGAUUUAGUGACGGCUGUUUUUAACCAUGAUUGGAAUUUCAAUCCACCGCUUAUGCAUAAAGCAAGACUAAUAGCAGAAUUUUUACCUAGUCGAUGUAAAGGCUGCAAUUUAAGUCAGGACUGAAAUUUUAAAAUAUGAAAAAUAUAAGGACUAAAAUUGAUAAAAAAUAAAAGAAGGAUUAAUCUAUAAUUUACGAGGACUAGUAAUAGAAUUUGAACUUUCUAAGUCUUUUUAAGUCGUUAAAAUUCUUGGUCUAAGAAGAGAAAAGUAUAUAAAAGAUUUAACAAAGUACACGCCUUGAGUUUCACGAUUAAGGACUUUUCUACCGUCUUUUUCUUUGGUUGACUGUACUAUUACUAGUCCUUUUUUCUAGUCUUCGGUUCUUAUAGAUAAGUAUAUUUGAAUAGCUCAAUUUGUAUCAAUAUUAUUUACGGUAUAAAAAGAUAUAGAUUCGAGUCUUCCUAUUUAAGAGUUGAAAAAGGGCUAUAAGUAAUUUUAGAAUUGUAUAAAAAAGCAUAUAUAAUAAAAACCUAUAACAAGAUUUAAAUUUAAAAACAAAAAUGAUGUUUGAUUAAGAUGUAACGAAGGAAGUUAUUAGACCAAUUUGAUCAAUUUGAUCCGAUUCUGAAAACUUUGGUCAUAAGUUCAUGUAACACCCCCUACCCGUAUUCAUCGUCGGAAUAGGGUACGAGGCAUUACCGGAGUUUACCGAAUUAAUUUCUCGUUAUUAUGAGUUAAUUACUAUUCAUUUACUCCAACAUGUAAUGACGUCCUUUAGAUGGUUCUCCAAAGCCCAAAACAUACUUUGGGAACAAACCAGAAUUUAAUCAAAACCAUAGGGAAUUUUUUGCAAAAUCCCAAAUUUUUUUUAUAUGAACUCAAUAUAAUCCUUUUAUAAAUAUCCAACAUUCCCCGCAAAUUUUUAAAACUGAGACCAAUCCAAACCAACCAAUCCAUUUCAAUCAAUUUGAUACCAAACCAUAUUUCUAUUAUAAUUAUACCAUUUAGCAUAUUCAUCACUCUUUAUGUAACACCCCUUACCCGAGACCGUUGUCGAAAUCGAGCACAAAGCGUUACCUAACUUAACUUACUAAAUUGGAGCAUAAAAAUUUUCUUUUAAAAUUAAUUCACUCACGUUCAAUCAAUAUAUCCCUAAAAAGGAUCAUCGAGACCCUAAAACAUGCAAUGAAAACUGUUCGGGUCCAAACAGGGAACAUUAAAAAUUUUCCAAAUACUUAAACAAAUUAAAAAUAAUUUAUUUCACUGUUCACAAUAAAACUGUUCAACUGCGCAGCAGUCACUAAAUUAAUUAUAACUCGAGUUAAAAAACUCGAAAUUUAAAUCCGUAAAUUUUCCCUAAAACUAGACUCAUAUAUCUUACUAUCAUAAAAUUUUCAGAAUUUUUGGGUUGGCCAAUUAAUACAGUUUAUUAGUUAAAUCUCCCCUGUUUCACUGUUCAACAGUUCUGAUCCCUCGUCACUAAAAAUUAAUUAUCUCAUUGUACAUAUUUUAUAUGGUGCUUCCGCUUGUUUCUACUGAAAAUAGACGCACUUAGGAAUCAGGAAAUAUAAAUUAUAACUCAUAAUUCUUUCUGUACAAUUUUUAAUAAAUUUCCAAAGUUAGGAAAGGGGAUUACAAAAUCAUUCUGAACUUAUCUCACUAAAAUUCAAAUAUCUCAUAAUAUAAAAUUCAUUUGCCUAUACCGUUUCUUUCAUAUGAAAAUAGACUCGAUAAAAUUUAAUUCCAUACCUAAUUCACUCUCUAAUUCCAUUUCUAAUAUCCUCAUGAAUUUUUGAAAAUCACAUCACUACUCCUGUCCAAGAAAAAAAAACUAUUCCAUUGCAAAUUUUUUUACUCUUUCAUAAUUUCUUUGUAUUAACUAGCAUUUAGGCAUACAUAACACUAAACAUAUUCUUAAUUAGCCAUCUCAAUAGCUAAUCAUUAUGAAAUAACUUUAGUUCCCUAUUUCAACCUUUUUCGAAACACAAUCCAAACGAUUAACCAUGUUAUUUAAUCAAGCAUGAAACCAUACAUAUCAAAAUAAACAAGCCAUUUUUGCAUGGCUCAUUAUAUAUAUAUACAUCAUUCAAAAUAUAUUUCAAAAAGUAGUAUAGACUAUACAUGUCAUUUAUUUCACAUAUUUAACACCUAUUUUAUAACCUUUACAAAAAGGUCCUUUUAGGUGUUUUCAUGAUAACACCUUUCACAAAAGUUGUUUAUUUAACAACUAAGACUCAUUUUUUUCUAUAAAAAUGCAGCAACCAACAUAAAGGCUCACAUGGCAAAACCCUAGACUUCCAACCAUUUUGCAAAAUAGUCCCCUCAUUAGCUAGCUCAAGCUACAAGGGUUCCCAAAAGUACAAAAAUUAUCAAAGAAUGGUCAUCAGAACACUUACUUGUAAGGAGAAAAGCUUGCCGAAAUUUUUGGCUCUCAAACCCCUAUUUUGCUGCUAAUUUUCGGUGGUGAAGGUGGAGAAGAAAAGAUGAUAUCAUUCUUUUCUUUAUUUUAUGAUAAAAAUUAAUUUAGUCACCAAAUUUUUACCUAACCAAUUGACCAAAUCUUUUCUUUGUCCCUAUGGCCGGCCACCACCCUAAACAAGGCUUAGUUGCACAUUAGGGACCUCCAAUUAAUAUUUUAUAGCUUUUAGACACCUUUAGCUUGUAAAAUAGAACUUUUACACUUUAUGCGAUUUAGUCCUUUUAUCAAAUUAAGCACACAAACAGUAAAAUUAAAUCACGAAAUUUUUAGAAAUAUUAAUUCACGAAUUAUAAACACAGAAAAUAAUAUUUAAAAAUUUUUCUGACUCGGAUUUGUGGUUUCAAAACCACUAUUCCGAAUAGGAUCGAAAUCGAGCUGUUACACUUUACUUUAAUACAUAUUCAUUAAACAAGUUUUGGCAUUUAUAUAAUCAUCAAACUAUAUACAUGCAAUAUAAAUCAAAAAAGAAAUUUACAAAAGCUACUGGAGAUAAUCUGGAUAGUGUGAUCCUCAGUGUUGAUCCGAUCCUCCGUAUAUUUUCACGUCAAUCUACAAGUGACAUUGAAUACACUCAAGUAAGCUUAUAGAAACUUAGUAAGUUCGUAGGCAUAAAACAUAAAUCUUACCAAACAUUCAUACACUUAUACAUUAUACACUAUUACUAAGUUUACCUCUCAACCAUAAACACUAGUGAGUCCCUUGGUAUAAACUCACUACUACUUAUCCAUUUACUAUAAUUCUUUUGGGCCCAUUUGUCACUUACCAUCAUUAAUCAAAUUAGGGAAUGGUUACGAAAAAUUGAGUACUUCACUUCCACUUUGCCAUAGUAUAACUAUGGCCUUGCGUAUGAUCACUUAUCACUUUCCGAAGCCAUAGCCCUGCCACAGUCUUACACGGAUCACACUUAUCACUUGUCACUUGUCACUGAUCAAAUAAGUGUAGCUAAAGUUACCACUUAUCACUUGUCACUUGUUACUGAUCAGAAGUACUCAAAUCCGACAUUCCGCUCAAUUUGAUCAUUUAUUCGGUUUUAGCAUUGUUAUUUUAUUCUCAAUUCAUCAACAAAUAUAUCUCAUCAUACAUUAUAUAAUUCAUAAAAUUAACAUUUAAUCAUUAAAUUUCAGCCAUAUGAACUUACCUGGGUCGAUUUGCAAAAUUUGUGAAAGUUUAAGGACUAAUCAGCUACUUUUUAUUUUCCUCGACUUGCUUCGGGUUCUCGAUCUAUCAUUGCAAAAUCAUUCACUUAUCAGUAUUGACUUCACCUUCACUCUAUUUCACAUCCUUAAUGUUUAUAACCCGCUUAUAAGUAAUAUUAUCUAUAAUUUCACUAUUUACUUAUGUAUAUUCAAUGUUGUCCAUCCAUGUCGUAGUCACUAAAUUUUUUUUAUCUUGAGCUACAGAACUCCAAAUUAGGAUCCACCUAAUUUUCCCUGAAACUAGACUCACAUAUCUUCUUACCAUAAAAUUUUCAGAAUUUUUGGUUUAUCCAAUAAGUACAGUUUAUUAUUUAAAAUCACCUUUGUUCUGUUGUCUGACAGUUCUGACCCUUCUUCACUAAAAAUGAAUUAUCUCCUCGUAUGAGAUUCGGAUGAUAUUUCCGUUUUUCUCUCGAAAAUAGUCUCAUUCAUUAUUUUAAAUAUAUAAAUUUAAGCCCCUAAUUAUUUUUAUUCAAGACUACUGUUGUUGUCCAAAACUGUUUUAGUGCAAAAUGUUGAUUUCCAUUUUGCCCCAAAUUUCAUAGUUCAUACAAAUCAGUCAUUGCUCAAUUAACCCCUCAAUUAAGCUAAUUUUUCACAAUUAGUACUUUACCUAGACAUUAUAAGUUAUUUCACAACUAUUGAAAUUUAGAAUUUUCAUAUAAAACCCUAACUUCAAAAUCUUUUACUAUUAGGUCCCAAACAUUCACUUUCUAUUCAAUUCUUUCAAAAAAAUCGGCAUAUAAACAAUUUAAAUCUCUAAUUUCAUCCUAAAUCAUCAUAUACUUCCAGCACAUAUUCAUAUUAACUUUUAAUUUCUUUCAUAGAAUCAAAAACUAAUGAAUUCAACAAGUGGGCCAAGUUGUAAAAGUAACAAAAACACAAAAAUUUCAAGAAAUAAUCAAGAAUUGAACUUACUUGCAAUAAAAAUAUGAAAAACCAGCUUAAAGAAACCCUUCUAUGGUGUUUUUGCUGAUGAGAAUGCAGAAAAAUAAAGAGAAAUCUAGAUAAUGCCACUUUAAUCCUAGCUUUAUUAAGCAAAUUUUUCAAUAUUCCAAUUUUGCCCUUAAUUCUUCUUAUUUUCUUGUUGAUUUCAUGCCUUUGCCUUCCCGCCCAAAUAGCCUUGGGUCUAUUUUCCUUUUAAGCCCUCUUUCUUUUAUCAUUUAAGUUAUUUAAUCAUUUCCCAUAAUUUUUCAUUUGUUACAAUUUACUCCUUUUUGUUCAAUUAAUUAUCGGAACUUUAAAAUUUCUAGAUGAAACUCUAAUACUAACUUUUUAACACUCCAUAAAUAUUUAUAAAAAUAUUUAUGGCUCGGUUUAAAAUCUUCGAGGUCUCGAUACCUAGUUUUUGAUUAUAAUUAUUUUAAUAUUUAUUUCUAGUACACUAUUCACUAUUUCAAAAAUUUUCCUAACUUCACAUUUAACUUAUAUUCACUGAAUUAAUAAUAUUUUCUACUCAUUUGUCGGAUUUAGUGAUCUCAAAUCACCGUUCCGACACCCUAAAAAUUCUGGCCAUUACAGUUCAAACUCGAGACAACCUUUUUUUUCCCUCUCCUUUUUUUCUUCUCUUAAUUGUAGUGUAAAGCAAAAUUUGGAUGACUUAUGAUCCAUUGAUGUUUGUAUCGCAUUGGCGUUCUAAAAAAGCCAUUAUAGUAACAAUGUAGUUCCCCAUACUAAUCGUUAAGGUUUUUUUAACUUGAUCAGUGGUCAAAUUAGAUUAAUAAUUUAAAAAUAUAUGAAAAUUUUUAACUUUUAAAACACAAGAUUUUUGGUACUAUACAGAUUCGAUAUACUCUAAAAAUACAUUUGGUACAAUAUUAACGAUCUCAUAAAAAUUGAAUUUCGAUGAAUUCCCGUUUACUGAUCCCAUCUUUUAUAGAAUUGAUCCCCUACAAGAAUACGUGGAGCUCGGCAUGUCUGGAAACACAGAAGAACUUUCUUUUGCUGAUAUUAUUACCAAUAUUCAAUAUUAGUUCGUUCAUAGUAUUACUAUACACUAAUGAUCUUUUUAACUAAGUGUGAUCGGAUAUCUAUAAAAAUUAUUUUUUAAAAAUAUAUUUUUUAAAAAAUUUAAAAAUGAUAUUUUUAACCAAUUUCCGAUCUAACCAACCGAAUCAAUUCAAUUCCAACCACAAAACAUAUACAUUAAAAAUAAUCAUAGGCAGAUAUGUAUGUUCAAAACACCAAAUAUAUACAUUAGUCAAAGCACAAAUAUCCCACUAAUUAAGUUCAUUAUAUAUACAUAUUAAUCCCAAAAGUAAAGGAUUAAAUCAAAAUUUUGUCAUUUUGGGGGUCAAAGUGUAAUUUUACCUAUACUAACUUAAAAUUUUAUAAAUUGUAAAGGGUCAAAUGUCAAAAUUUCCCAUUUUAGGGGGGGCAAGGCCCCUGCCAACCCCCCGGCGUUGCCCCUGGUUCAUGAUUCAAGUAAUUUGAUUAAUCUAUUUGAACAAGUUAUUACUAAACUUGAAUUCGGCUCGAUUGAUACCUCAAGCUAAACUUGAUAAUUACCGAAUUGAAUUCAAAUUCUUUUCAAAUUGAACUCAAAAAAUUUACGAAUACCAGUAUCUCAUUUACACCCGAACAAAAAUACACAAAAACAGCCUAAAUGAAUUGACAUUCAGACAGCAAACAAAUGCACAAAGAGUCAGGCUAUUGGUAAGCAUAAACAAAUUAGAUUCCAAGAAAAAGAAUUGCAAACAAUUGGAAUUUUAAGUGCAUGGUCAAAUAAUUACCAAUUGACUUGUUUUAUUAUAUUUUAAUUUAAUUUGUUCUCCGAACAAAAAAUUUUACGAUAUUUUAUACAAAUAUAAAAUUAUUUACACUGUUUUUAACAAUUAGAUCCAAAUUAUUCAUAUAAAUACAUGUAUUUAUAAUUUGAUCCACAUGUUUAAAAUUAUGAUUCAUGUUGGAUCUAAAAUGGGAUUUGACAUUGGGUGAAAUCAAGCAGUGAGCUUGACUCGAAAUUUAGAGCUCGAUACUUGCCUCUAGCUCGAUUGAACAUCUAUUUCUAAGCUCGAGCUCUAUUCAAGAUAAAACCGAGCUACUCAAGCUCGAUUAAGCUUGUUUGUCAAUUUUUGUACUUAAGCUCGAGCUUGACUCAAUAAUUAUGUUUGGAUUUGGGUUAAUAAUAUAUAUUAAAGGCAAUAACGUAAUUUAGCAAUAUUGAUAGGUUAAAGAUUUAAUUAGAAUAUUUCGAAGAUCAAUGAUUAAUUUAAAAUAUGCUUAGAAUUAUUUAUAAUAUCUUCCUCACCCGUAAAUAGGAAGAUAAUAUCAUUCAACUCAGUUUGGUUAAUUCAAUUUUAUUAGUUUAGUUGGUUCAUUAGAUUCUUGAUAUAUAAAAACCGAAUUAACUGAAGAUAUAUUCUUAUCUCUUAAGAAGGAUUAAAUAAAUUCAAGAUUCAAAAUCUAAACAUCUUCCUCUGUUCUAAUAUUAUAGAAAAAUUUAUUGAUUACACUGUAAAUUUCAUCAGGCUGAUAAUAUAUACAUAUAUAAAUAUGUAUAUACCUGCUGUGAUUCAUCAGUGUAAUUCACAACUAUAUAAGCAUGGACACUAUGGUUUUUACGCUUGGCAAAGUUAAAAGUCUUAACUUGUGCCACAAACAUGAUCUAAGGAGAACUAACAAAGGAGCUAAGGAGUGGAGGAUCGGGUAUAUUAACCGUCCCUUCUAGCAUCAAGAUAACCCUUUUCAUCGACGGUCGAGACGAUGCUUCAUC
rnacentral:lncRNA from 1 species